AGCGAACGCUGGCGGCAGGCCUAACACAUGCAAGUCGAACGAAGUCUUCAGACUUAGUGGCGGACGGGUGAGUAACACGUGGGAACGUACCUUUUGGUUCGGAACAACUCAGGGAAACUUGAGCUAAUACCGGAUGAGCCCUUAGGGGGAAAGAUUUAUCGCCGAAAGAGCGGCCCGCGUUAGAUUAGCUAGUUGGUGAGGUAAAGGCUCACCAAGGCUACGAUCUAUAGCUGGUCUGAGAGGAUGAUCAGCCACACUGGGACUGAGACACGGCCCAGACUCCUACGGGAGGCAGCAGUGGGGAAUCUUGCGCAAUGGGCGAAAGCCUGACGCAGCCAUGCCGCGUGAAUGAUGAAGGUCUUAGGAUUGUAAAAUUCUUUUACCAGGGACGAUAAUGACGGUACCUGGAGAAAAAGCCCCAGCUAACUUCGUGCCAGCAGCCGCCGUAACAC
rnacentral:rRNA from 1 species